rnacentral:tRNA from 1 species
CGGAUGUAGCCAAGUGGAUCACGGCAGGGGAUUUGGGAUCCCCCCAUGCGCGGA